GGGGAAUUGUUCGCAAUGGGCGCAAGCCUGACGACGCAACGCCGCGUGGAGGAUGAAGGUCUUCGGAUUGUAAACUCCUGUUGACCGGGACGAAUGGGCGACGACCUAACACGUCGGAGCAGUGACGGUACCGGUUGAGGAAGCAACGGCUAACUCUGUGCCAGCAGCCGCGGUAAUACAGAGGUGGCAAGCGUUGUUCGGAAUUACUGGGCGUAAAGCGCACGUAGGCGGUUGCUCAAGUCAGAGGUGAAAGCCCGGAGCUCAACUUCGGAAUUGCCUUUGAAACUAGGCGACUUGAACACGGGAGAGGUGAGUGGAAUUCCGAGUGUAGAGGUGAAAUUCGUAGAUAUUCGGAAGAACACCAGUGGCGAAGGCGGCUCACUGGACCGUUGUUGACGCUGAGGUGCGAAAGCGUGGGGAGCAAA
rnacentral:rRNA from 1 species